CUGCCACUAGAUUAGGUAGAUGGAAAAUACUAUCAGAAGAAGAAGAAGACAGAUUUCAAUGUGAAGCUUAAUCCAGACCAGAUCCAACUCUCUUCAAUAUGAAGGCUGAAAGAACUAAGGAAACUGCAAUGGAAGAAUUCGAACCUAGCAGAAGCUGGAUCAUGAGGCGUUAAGGAAAACUGUCUCCAUAACACACAAUCACCACCACAAAAUGAAGCCACAGAAGCUGUAGGUUCUUCAUGCCCUGCAUGAAUUCCGGAUAUGA